UACGUAGGGGGCAAGCGUUGUCCGGAUUUAUUGGGCGUAAAGAGCGUGUAGGCGGCUAGAUAGGUCCGUUGUGAAAACUUGAGGCUCAACCUCGAGACGUCGAUGGAAACCAUCUGGCUAGAGUCCGGAAGAGGAGAGUGGAAUUCCGUGGUGUAGCGGUGAAAUGCGCAGAUAUCAGGAAGAACACCCGUGGCGAAGGCGGCUCUCUGGUACGUGACUGGACGCUGAGACGCGAAAGCGUGGGGAGCAAACAGG
rnacentral:rRNA from 1 species